rnacentral:tRNA from 1 species
GGAUGGGUGGCCGAGUGGUUUAAGGCGCACGCCUGGAAAGCGUGUUGGCGCGAAAGCGUCUCGGGGGUUCGAAUCCCCCCUCAUCCG